ensembl:lncRNA
UCCCUCAGCCCUGUCUGAUCCAGAUCUGAACCAGAAGCUGCGUCAGGCUGCUCAGCAGUAUGAAAGGACGCUCUACAUCCCCAAUGGUGCAUUAUGGGGAGGCAAGACAUCCAGAGAAUGAAUGAUAGUGGGAAACUGAAGCAGGCAGUGUGAUGCUCCUUCAUUCAUGUGGAUGUUCCUCUAACACCUAAACAUCGCUGCAGACCACAUCCACCUCGUCAUGGCAACAGUAUCCCCUGAUGGCCUCUUCUAGCAGGAUGAUGCUCCCCGUCACACUGCAAACGUUGUUCAGGUGUAGUUGGAGAAACAAGACAAAUAAGUUGAGGUGUGGCCUCCAGAGUCCCGCAUCUGUAGUGAUAGAGCAUCUGAAGGAUGAUCUGGAAAAACAAGUUCAGUCCUCCAGGAUCUACUUCUAACAUCUUGGUGGCACAAGACACCUUCAGAGGUCUGUGAUGUUCAGAGUUCUGAACUACCAAGUGAUAUUAGCUUGUUAGCAGAUACGUUGAGCCUAAAGUCAGACUUUUCAGUGAUAGGAAGGUCUUUGGACCUGCUAGAUCUCUACGGUAACUAAUGCCAUGGAACUAGAUCUCCAUGGUAACUGAUACUGUGGAGCUGGAUCUCCAUGGUUACUGACGCUGUGGAGCUAGAUCUCCAUGGUUACUGAUGCUGUGGAGCUGGAUCUCCAUGGUUACUGAUGCUGUGGAGUUAAAUCUCCAUGGUGACUGAUGCCGUGGAGCAGAUUCUGUUCAGAGUUUCAGAUUAAAAUCAGCUGUAAGAAACGUCUCCCUUUAACCAAAUCAUGUCCUGAUGAUUCUUUAUGAGCGACACAGAUUCUCUAUCUGCAAACCUGUUGAUGUGACCGUUACUAAAACCACUGAAUGAAGUCAUGUAGUUACUGUAUCACACACUGUAUGCAUCAUGUUGCUAUGGUAACCUGACAUGUAUUCAUCUGGUGAUUGAGAAAUCGUAUAAAUAAGUUUUAAUGUUGGUCCAUUUACUGUGACUAGAACAUUGAUUAUUCUACUGCUAUUUAUUACAGCAAACAUUCAGUCAAUAACAUUAAUUUGUUUUUGCUUUGCCCACAAUUAAGUGGAUUUCAAUCCAAUAUUUUUAAAUAUAUGAAGUUUAAAGUUGGUAUAUCAGCUGUCUUUCCCAGGUCAUCUGCUGGAUUGUUGUCAUUUGUUAACUUUGUGUUGUUGUGCAAGAGGGAGGCAGAUGUCCCCACUGUUUUUUUCCCUUUUCCAUCAUUAUUCAUUGCUUGUGAUGGGCAGCUUAGCUGUGACAACUUGCUUAAGCCUCCAGAAAAUAAGAGAGCGACACCCCGAGCUAACAGCUAAUACCUCUCAGUCCGUCAGGUCCAAAUAAAGUCAAGAGUCGCUGGCACAAAGGAAUGUGACCUGGCCGAUAAAAAGCAGACUUGGCUCGGCAGAUCACACAUUUCUGAGAGUAUAAAAGGGAUGGAUGGAACAUUAUUUUUCCUUUUAAGGGCUCCGAUGGCUGACAGUGGCGCACAAAAUGGCACACUGGGGACACUGUUGUUGUCGCGGCAACCUUCCCAGAGCGGAAACCACGGUCUGUUUGGCCAAUUGGAUCGUAG